rnacentral:lncRNA from 1 species
CGGUAUCCUGAUGUCCUUUCUUUUCGAUCGAUUUAUCCUUUAACCCAGUAACUGGUUGUGGAUAAUCUUUCAUGCGAGUAUGUUAUCUACGUUCUGACGGUAAUAGAUAAUGUAUCUCAUGCACUCUUUGGUUGAAGCCUUUGGUUGUUUCCCCAACUGAGCAAGAUUCAUAUUUUCCUUUGUGAAAAAUCGAAUAUCCAUCCAGUGAAUUGAGUUUGCUUUU